AAAUCAAGAUUCACUUCCACGUUCACUCACACAUGCUGCUUCUACUCCGGAAGUACGCAUCCACAUAUAUCCACCCAUUUCCAUCUCCAGAACCACCCAAAAAUAUUCUACUCCUAAUCCGGGAGGGAAUAGCCAAAAACAUUCUCCUAUUUCUGUUUCCCCUGUGAAAUAAAUGCUCGAGUUAUCUUGGUUACUACCUCUUGCUAUAUUAUUUCAGGAGAUGAGUGUUCUAAAAAAAGAGAGAGAAAAGAGAAAAGGAUACGAGGAAAUAAAAAGGGCCAAGUGUCUGGUACCUCAAAAGAAAAGAAAAGGUGAGACGAGAGGUAAAAAUGGAUAAGUGUCCGAUAGUAGAAUUAGGGGUGCAAUACCCACCUGAGAGGAAAGAAAAAGAAAAUAUAGAGCAUCUCAUUCUCCUCAAUGUUUCAAAAGAGCAAGGAAGGUAUUUAUCCCCUCAAAAGAGCAAAAAGUAGAAUUAGACUUUCACCAUUGUUUUCACCAUCAUCACCAUACACCAUUCAUUCGCAACACAUGCACAUCUUGAUUUGACUUAUUGACUUGUUUCUCUGGAUCCAUGGUUUGACUAUGCAAUAAAUGUCUUGUAAGUAUGUAUACUUUAUCUCCCACCUAUGAGCUCCAGAUAUUAAAGCCUUAUUAGAGUAGGAUGAGAGAGAAGGCAAUGUCACUAUGCCUUAUACCACAAAUACUACAUACUUUGAGAGAAGCCAUAUACCAUCACUGCCUUGGUAAGGAUCCAGAAAUACCACAAAAGAGAGAUCUGAGAGAGUCAUAAAAGGAAUCUCUGAAUUUUAUUUGAAAAUCUGCAAAAAC
rnacentral:lncRNA from 1 species